rnacentral:rRNA from 1 species
AUUGAACGCUGGCGGCAGGCCUAACACAUGCAAGUCGAGCGGAUGAGAGGAGCUUGCUUCUCGAUUCAGCGGCGGACGGGUGAGUAGUGCCUAGGAAUCUGCCUGGUAGUGGGGGACAACGUUUCGAAAGGAACGCUAAUACCGCAUACGUCCUACGGGAGAAAGCAGGGGACCUUCGGGCCUUGCGCUAUCAGAUGAGCCUAGGUCGGAUUAGCUAGUUGGUGAGGUAAUGGCUCACCAAGGCGACGAUCCGUAACUGGUCUGAGAGGAUGAUCAGUCACACUGGAACUGAGACACGGUCCAGACUCCUACGGGAGGCAGCAGUGGGGAAUAUUGGACAAUGGGCGAAAGCCUGAUCCAGCCAUGCCGCGUGUGUGAAGAAGGUCUUCGGAUUGUAAAGCACUUUAAGUUGGGAGGAAGGGUUGUAGAUUAAUACUCUGCAAUCUUGACGUUACCGACAGAAUAAGCACCGGCUAACUCUGUGCCAGCAGCCGCAGUAAGAC